rnacentral:rRNA from 1 species
GAUGAACGCUGGCGGCGUGCCUAAUACAUGCAAGUCGAGCGAACAGACGAGGAGCUUGCUCCUCUGACGUUAGCGGCGGACGGGUGAGUAACACGUGGUUAACCUACCUAUAAGACUGGGAUAACUUCGGGAAACCGUAGCUAAUACCGGAUAAUAUAUUGAACCGCCUGGUUCAAUAGUGAAAGACGGUUUUGCUGUCACUUAUAGAUGGAUCCGCGCCGCAUUAGCUAGUUGGUAAGGUAACGGCUUACCAAGGCAACGAUGCGUAGCCGACCUGAGAGAGUGAUCGGCCACACUGGAACUGAGACACGGUCCAGACUCCUACGGAAGGCAGCAGUCUGCACGACGCCGUUCUGGUCUAGAGUCUGACGGUGCAACAGCGUGUGAGUACUGAAGAAGUUCAAGUCGGAAACCGGUGAAAUAAGAGAAGAACAAAUGUGUAAUUAGGGAUUGUUAGCUUGACGGUACCUAGUCAGAAUGCCACCGCUGACUUCGUU